UACAGAGGCCACGAGCGUUAGGCGGAAUCACUGGGCUUAAAGCGUGUGUAGGUGGAUCGGUAAGUACCUUGUGAAAUCCCACGACUCAAUCGUGGAACUGCUUGGUAUACUGCCAGUCUUGAGGUACUCAGGGGCAAGCGGAACAAAUGGUGGAGCGGUGAAAUGCGUAGAUAUCAUUUGGAACGCCAAUGGUGAAGACAGCUUGCUGGGGGUAUUCUGACACUGAGACACGAAAGCCAGGGGAGCAAACGGG
rnacentral:rRNA from 1 species